rnacentral:rRNA from 1 species
ACUCCUACGGGAGGCAGCAGUAGGGAAUCUUCCACAAUGGACGAAAGUCUGAUGGAGCAAUGCCGCGUGAGUGAAGAAGGUUUUCGGAUCGUAAAGCUCUGUUGCAAGGGAAGAACACGUACGGGAGUAACUGCCCGUACCUUGACGGUACCUCGUCAGAAAGCCACGGCUAACUACGUGCCAGCAGCCGCGGUAAUACA